UCACGUUCUCUUGCUACAUCAGU
rnacentral:miRNA from 1 species